GAAUUUUAUUAAUAUUAAUUUAAAUUUAUUGUUUUAAAUUAAUAUUAAUUUUGUUGGGGGGAUAUUUAAAUUAAUUUAACUUUAAAUUAUUUAUUACAUUGAUUAAUGGAUGAGAAAUUUGAUUUUAGCUAGUAUUAAUAAAAGAAUAAAUUACCUUAGGGAUAACAGCAUAAUAUCUUUGGAGAGUUCAUAUUGAUAAAGAUGAUUGU
rnacentral:rRNA from 1 species